CAGCCGCCACGGUAAUACGAAGGGUGCAAGCGUUAAUCGGAAUUACUGGGCGUAAAGCGCGCGUAGGUGGUUUGGUAAGAUGGAUGUGAAAUCCCCGGGCUCAACCUGGGAACUGCAUCCAUAACUGCCUGACUAGAGUACGGUAGAGGGUGGUGGAAUUUCCUGUGUAGCGGUGAAAUGCGUAGAUAUAGGAAGGAACACCAGUGGCGAAGGCGACCACCUGGACUGAUACUGACACUGAGGUGCGAAAGCGUGGGGAGCAAACAGGAUUAGAUACCCCCGUAGUCCCUGUCUCUUAUAA
rnacentral:rRNA from 1 species